GAUGAACGCUGGCGGCGUGCCUAAUACAUGCAAGUCGAGCGAACAGACGAGGAGCUUGCUCCUCUGACGUUAGCGGCGGACGGGUGAGUAACACGUGGAUAACCUACCUAUAAGACUGGGAUAACUUCGGGAAACCGGAGCUAAUACCGGAUAAUAUAUUGAACCGCAUGGUUCAAUAGUGAAAGACGGUUUUGCUGUCACUUAUAGAUGGAUCCGCGCCGCAUUGCUAGUUGGUAAGGUAACGGCUUACCAAGGCAACGAUGCGUAGCCGACCUGAGAGAGUGAUCGGCCACACUGGAACUGAGACACGGUCCAGACUCCUACGGGAGGCAGCAGUAGGGAAUCUUCCGCAAUGGGCGAAAGCCUGACGGAGCAACGCCGCGUGAGUGAUGAAGGUCUUCGGAUCGUAAAACUCUGUUAUUAGGGAAGAACAAAUGUGUAAGUAACUAUGCACGUCUUGACGGUACCUAAUCAGAAAGCCACGGCUAACUACGUG
rnacentral:rRNA from 1 species